AUCAUUUAUUUGUUUUUUUCAAUUGUUUAAAUUAGUUAAUUCACAUCUAACAUUAUCGUAAAAGUGCUUAGAAAAAUGUGCUGGUGAUAAAAAAUAAUUUCCCAGAAACUCACGUUGGCAAAAAGUUCCAUUGCCGGUUUUCGGAGCGCGAGGUAAUGAUUAAGAGGGACAGACGGGGGCAUUCGUACUGUGCCGUUAGAGGUGAAAUUCUUGGAUCGGCGCAAGACGAAC
rnacentral:ncRNA from 1 species